rnacentral:rRNA from 1 species
AUACGGAGGGUGCGAGCGUUGUUCGGAAUUAUUGGGCGUAAAGCGCGUGUAGGCGGUCUUUUAAGUCUGAUGUGAAAGCCCUGGGCUCAACCCAGGAAGUGCAUUGGAAACUGGGAGACUUGAAUACGGGAGAGGGUAGUGGAAUUCCUAGUGUAGGAGUGAAAUCCGUAGAUAUUAGGAGGAACACCAGUGGCGAAGGCGGCUUCCUGGCACAAUACUGACGCUCAUGUGCGAAAGCUAGGGCAGC